GUUCAUCUGGAUUCCGUCAGUAAUAGGGUGAGAGGGAGGUCAGGCCUACAGGCCAGAAAAAUCCUAUGUAAAUUUUAGCCAAGCUGAGAGCAAUGUUAAGGCCUCUUGGUCAUACCUUACUAAGGGAUCAUUUUAAUAUAUUGUUUAAAAUACUCAAGGAAUUCUGUGCCAUCUAAGUAGUAGAAGAUUUUUAUUCAUUUAUUCUAGGGAAAACAUUAGCUGAUUGUGCACACUAUGUAUGCGGGAGGAGUAGGUUGCUUGAAUGGAGUCACAACGUCAUGGUAAUCUGCUCCUGGCAGAAACUGCGAUGGAUUUGGUUAGUUUUGACUGAGUUUCUGAAUCAGAGGUAGGUUCUACAAGGACAGAGAAAUGUCUGAGGUCAGGACAAGUCAAGAAGGACUCAAGUACCUGACUAAAGGUUUACUCAAAGGAAACAGUCUUUGUCACAG
rnacentral:lncRNA from 10 species